rnacentral:rRNA from 1 species
AUGCAUGAACUUGGCGAUACAGGGACUGAUGAUAAUAUUAUAGGUUCCGAUCUAUCAUUUGAGGAUUUUGAUAUAUCAGAACCCUCUCUUAAUCUUCCAACUCCCCCUACGUAUUUAUACUCAGGCGUGGCCUCGCAGGCUUAUAUUUCAAACACUUGUCCUAUCUCUACGCACGGUGGUGCGGAAGGAGCUUCUAAUCUCGUCAGUGGCGAGGGAAUAAUGACACAGAUUUCAGCGUCACCCAUGGAUAUUUCCGCUAUUACCAAGCCCAUUCUAGACGCUAUCGACUUGUUGUUAAAGAAUGCUUUCGAAGCUUUAGAUGCCCCUACAUUAACAGAUUCUCAGUGCCAUGAGAUUUUUCAGGUAGUUCGGUCGAUGCUCCCUGCUGGUGACGUUGUUCCCCAAAUUCCCCUACCGUGCGGCUUGGGAAAUAUUUGUUUCGAUAUCAGAUUAGUGCAAGAAACCCGCAGAACCAUUGAGGAUCAGUCAAAGCAAAAGUGUGAAUUUGUUACUGCAGCAGAGAGAAGGGCUGAAUCCAUUUAA